AAAUUUAUUGUUGUUGUUUUCCUCUGGCCACUCCCAUCACCGAAGUUAAGCAAUGUCGGGCCCGGUCAGUACUUGGGAGGGUGACCACCUGGGAACACCGGGUGCUGUAGGCU